rnacentral:rRNA from 1 species
AACGAACGCUGGCGGCAUGCCUAACACAUGCAAGUCGAACGAUGCCUUCGGGCAUAGUGGCGCACGGGUGCGUAACGCGUGGGAAUCUGCCUUUCGGUUCGGAGUAACUCAGGGAAACUUGAGCUAAUACCGGAUAACGUCGCAAGACCAAAGAUUUAUCACCGUAAGAUGAGCCCGCGUAGGAUUAGCUAGUUGGUGAGGUAAAGGCUCACCAAGGCGACGAUCCUUAGCUGGUCUGAGAGGAUGAUCAGCCACACUGGGACUGAGACACGGCCCAGACUCCUACGGGAGGCAGCAGUGGGGAAUAUUGGACAAUGGGCGAAAGCCUGAUCCAGCAAUGCCGCGUGAGUGAUGAAGGCCUUAGGGUUGUAAAGCUCUUUUACCCGGGAAGAUAAUGACGGUACCGGGAGAAUAAGCCCCGGCUAACUCCGUG